GAUGAACGCUAGCGGCAGGCUUAAUACAUGCAAGACGAACGGUAAGUUUGGUAGCAAUACUAGACCUAGAGUGUCGUACGGGUGCGUAACACGUAUGCAACCUACCUUGUACAGGAGUAUAGCUCGGGGAAACUCGAAUUAACCCUCCAUAAUGUAGCGGAGAGGCAUCUCUUUGCUACUAAAACUGAGGUGGUACAAGAUGGGCAUGCGUUUGAUUAGUUAGUUGGCAGUGUAAUGGACUACCAAGACGAUGAUCAAUAGGGGACCUGAGAGGGUGAUCCCCCACACUGGCACUGAGAUACGGGCCAGACUCCUACGGGAGGCAGCAGUAGGGAAUAUUGGACAAUGGGUGAGAGCCUGAUCCAGCCAUGCCGCGUGCAGGAAGAAGGCGUUAUGCGUUGUAAACUGCUUUUGCCAGGGGAUAAAAAGACCGUGCGCGGUUAAUUGAAGGUACCUGGUGAAUAAGCCACGGCUAACUACGUGC
rnacentral:rRNA from 1 species